GGGGAUUUAGCUCAGUGGUAGAGCGCUUGCCUAGGAAGCUCAAGGCCCUGGGUUCGAUCCCCAACUCCG
rfam:Rattus norvegicus chromosome 12, whole genome shotgun sequence.